GGUGGUUGUGCCUUUGGCUGAGUGUCUAUCCAAUCUGUCAGAGGGAGAGCAGGAGACGGUUUAUGAAGUUUAACGUUGGUAGUCACCAGAGAAGAAGAAGAAGAAGAAGUUGGUAAUUAAUGGCUCAGAUUCAAACCCAAAUUGAAACGUAAGCAACUAAAAUUGAUGAAUGUUUGAACAUUGUGUCAAAUUGGUCAUUAUUACUGUGACUUAUAAAGUGUCAGGUUUAGUUCCAUCAUAGUAAAUCUACAUGUGUGGAAUCAUUCCGCUGGGGGA